GAGCUCACUUUAGCAGCACAUACACUAAAAUUGGACACGAUGCAGAGAAGAUUAGCUUGGCCCCAGCACAAGGACGACACGCAAAUUCGUGAAGUGUUCCAUAUUUAA